CAAUAGCGUAUAUUAAAGUUGUUGCGGUUAAAAAGCUCGUAGUUGGAUUUCUGCUGAGAACGACCGGUCCGCCCUCUGGGUGUGUAUCUGGCUCUUUCUUGGCAUCUUCUUGGUGAACGUUGCUGCACUUGACUGUGUGGAGCGCUACCCAGGACUUUUACUUUGAGGAAAUUAGAGUGUUUCAAGCAGGCAUACGCCUUGAAUACAUUAGCAUGGAAUAAUAAGAUAGGACCUCGGUUCUAUUUUGUUGGUUUCUAGAGCUGAGGUAAUGAUUAAUAGGGAUAGUUGGGGGCAUUCGUAUUUAACUGUCAGAGGUGAAAUUCUUGGAUUUGUUAAAGACGGACGACUGCGAAAGCAUUUGCCAAGGAUGUUUUCAUUG
rnacentral:rRNA from 1 species